GGGCAAAGGCAAGUAUGGCAACAUGAUCUCACUAUCUCUCUUACGCUCGAAUUUUUCUGGUGAUUUACUACAUUAUUAUUAAACAUGUAGGAAAAAUGUACUGUAUAGAUUUGUUUGAGAGAGCAAGCAAUUCAUCGCCAGUGCAUUUGGGUAAAAAAAGGUGCUCCCAAAACAUGAUAAAAAAUCACCUGCCAAGUGGCCUUGACAAGAACACACGGAAUAAAGUAGUAGCAUAUAAAUCACCAACCACCAAAAAAAAAAGAUUAGAUAAAGGAAUAGUGCUGUUCACUCGCGGAAAAAAAGGGGGGAGAGGAAAACGCAAACUGCCAGCCACGGGCCCAAGAAGUGAGUGCUGCCCCGUCAAUGUCGCCGGGAAGCCAAGAAAGGCAAAGCGAACCCAUUCAUUUCUGUCUUUCUUCCUCCCCUCCACCCUCCCUCCUUCCUCAUUUCUCCCCCGAAUCGCUGCUCGUCGUUGAUUUUCGCCUCGGCCGGGCUCCUGCCGUCCUCGACAGAAAGGUUGGGACGAUCCUCCUCUGAACCAGCAGAAACCACCUCCUCCUAUGUCUCUUCCAAUGCAGACGAUUCACGAGUGCCGUGGUUCCUUCCCCGUUUCUCUCAUCAGGUUCAGGUGUCGCAAUGGUGGGAGGAGCGCUGAUCUCGGUCUACCCGGACGACCUCACCUUCCUCUGUAAGUUGUUCUUGAGAUUUUCUCCGCAUUCUGCAAAAUAAAAAACCCUCCGUGGUUUUCUCUACGUUGGUUGAACUGAAUUCUUGUGCGUAGUCGAGCUGGACAAGCCGUGCUACUGCAAUCUCAAGGUGGUGAACAACAGCGAGCACCAUGUCGCCUUCAAGGUUCGUGCCAUUUCCAUUCCACGGCGCAGGACGGACUCUGGUUUUCCGCUGUGCGUCUCGGUGAAGCUCUUGAAGAAGAUCGAGGUUCAGGUUUGAUCAGAAUAUGUUCAUUUGCAUUCAGGUCAAGACGACGUCUCCGAGGAAGUACUUCGUCCGGCCGAACGCCAGCGUCGUCCAGCCGUGGGAUUCUUGCACGAUAACAAGUAAGCAUGCAUGCAUAGAUACAUACAUGCUCCAGGAUUCUUUAUUUGGUUCUGAUGUGUGCGCAUCUGCCUUCUUGUUUUGGGUUAUAGUUACCCUACAGUCGCAGAAAGAGUACCCUCCAGAUAUGCAAUCCAAGGAUAAAUUCUUGAUUCAGAGCACCAGGGUGGCUGCCAGCACCGACAUGGACGAAAUCCCCCCUGACACAGUGAGCACUAAUAAAACUCAUAAUCACUGGUUUCUAUGAUCUAGCGGCGCAUUGUCCUUAGAAUGAAAUUAUUGGCAUUCCACCAACUAUAUCUCACCUUUAUAUGUAUCCCUCAGUUCAACAAGGAGGCUGAUAAGGUGAUUGAGGAAAUGAAGCUCAAGGUUGUCUACACAUUGCCCAGUGGAAGCUCAGACGACUCUGGUGUCACAUCUUCAGCAAAUAGGAGCUUCAAGCAGGGUGGCGACGAUCUCUCGGUGAGAUUGGCUAGCUCUAUCAUCUAAGUAGGAGACAUAUGUUGGAUCUGCUAAUAAAAAUUUAUUACAAAGGCUAACUGUAUUUCACAUGUUUAUGCUUUACCUUGCAGAUGCUGAAGAAUGCAAGCAUUGAAGAGGUAACGCGCUCUAUCCAAACAGAAAUUUCACAUGUUUAUUUAGAAACCUGACCAAAAAAACUGCUAGCAAAGACAUUUCCCCUGAUGGAGAAAGAAUUAUUCUACCAUUUAGACUUGACAGGCUUGAAGUCUCUACCAAACUCUGUAAUAUUGCGCUGCGCACUUCCAAAAAAUAUACAUUAGGUUCAUCUUAGGAUCUUUUUGCAGUACGUUUUUGCACUGAGGUAGUUGCUAUAGUCUUGCAAAUACUAUUUCUCUCUUAGAUUCUUAAAUGCAGAAGCAAAUACACACUACAUUUUCUUAUAUAAAAUUGUGAAAAGAGCAAAUAUGGAAGCAGGACAAUGUUCAAGCAUCAUUAAAUCAUUGUUGAAAUCAACAUAAAGUUGAUCGAGCGUGAGAAAAGGUACCUAUACUUCCAGGCCGGUGUCAUGAUUGAGGUAGGAAGGGAUGCCCAGAAGCCCACGAGCAUGUUGCCCUAUGUACAUAGUUAAUUGUGCAAUGGGACCAGAAUUUGGAAUUUUUUACCCACUUUUGUUCAUCUGGACCAGAGUAUCUUCCUUUAUCCUGAUUGACAUAUUCCAACUCAAACUUUUUUCCAAAAAUCAUGAUUCUAAAGUGUGCCCUGGAUGAGAUAUGCUCACUAUGCAGCAAUUAACUUUUAUGAUCAAGCUGUUACUAAUAAAAAAACAUAUUAUGCGAACCUUUUGUCCUUUUUACUCAGUAAAUUGUUCCUUUCCUUUUAUCCAGAUCCAGACAAUACAGCGUCUGAAGGACGAAAGGGAUAACAAUCUUCAGCAAAAUCAGCAAAUGCAACGUGAACUGGUGCUGUAUAUUGACAUUUUCACGCUCCAUGUCGUUUCUACUCACUGUUUUAGUUCAGUUCAGAUCCUAGUUUGACUAAUCAUAUUAACAUCAGGAUUUUGAUGCUUUUGCUUGCUUCUCACUGUUUGAAUCCAUAAUUAAAUAUGUAAAAGGCAGAUAAUGAUGAAUGUUAUGUUAUAAAAAAGUAUUACUUUUGAGCAAAUGCAAAAGAAUAUGUUGGUCCUUGAUGAGUAACAAGUUUUUUGUUUUGCAAUGUGUCAUUAAUCACAUUUUAUUUUUAUAAAUAUAAAAAUUUGGCCUGAUUACCAUUUUUCCCUUGCCGUAAAUCUUUGUGGAUGUUUUAGCAAAAACAAAGUCAAAGCAUAUAUUAUUUUGUCCUUUGUCCUACUAGAUCAUUUAUUUAUCGAGAGGACACAGACUAAGAGCUGGACCUUGGGAAUGGAAAACCAAAUCACUAUGGCGUUAGCUCAAUUUUGGAGUGAAACUAGAUUGCCAAAGGGUAGUGGGCCAGUUAAAUCAGACUUGAUACUAUGGAUAUGCCAUGGUGUCUACUGUUUCGUUCUUUUUCUGCCAGCAGUUAAUAUGGUCGCUUUAGACGCUGAUAUAACAGAAAAUGAACAGAAAUGUGAGGUGCCACCUGCCAAUCAUGCUAAGUUUAUUUCCAUAUUUUUAUUACUUUUGACUCUAAAAUGUAGAUUGGCGGUUGAUAUCGAAGUACUAAACCUAGGUUAACUUCUGCAUGAAAUGCUGAUUGCCUACAUAUACAUCCUCGCUUAUAUUGGAUUUAUCCCUAAAUAUAAAAAAAUUAACAUUUCAGGACAUGCUGAGGAGGCGUAGAAGCCGCAAAGGCGAUGCUGGUUUCUCUUUGACCUUUGCUGCUUUUGCUGGGAUCAUAGGUCUCCUGGUUGGGCUCUUGAUGAGCCUCAUCUUCUCUUCCCCACCAGCGACUGCUUAGAUGCCAAGAUUGAAGCCUAGAGUAACAGUAUUCAGCUCAGUUUCCAGAUGCUUGGAGAGAAAGAUUAAAAGUUAUAUUACUCUAGUCUCAACUAUCAUUCUUUGUUCUUUGCAUUGUAGGUAUACAUGCCUUAUCACAACGGGCUUGCAAUGUUUAGCCCGUGUUUGCUUCGUCUUCCAUUUUGUAUUUAUAUUCCUCUACUGUGUAUUUUUCUGUAUAAUUAGUUUGGCAUAUAUCAGGAAGACAAAUGUAUGCAUUCACCUAUUAGAAAUGUAAAGGCUGAAAAGGAAGUAUGUGUUAUCAAUCCUAGUGACCCUGUUUCAAAAUGUAGGACGUAUUUUGUUCGUAGACUUUGAUCAAUAGUGUGUAAUUUGUUUUAUACAAAAAUUGAUAGAAAUUCGUGUUCAAAACAUUUUUUCUUAUAUUUUCCAAGUCAUAACAAUUACAGAAUAUAAUAUACAAAAUUUACGGUCAAAAUACGAACUUAGAAAACCAAAAUAUGCCACAUAUCUCUGAAUUGGGGGAGUAGCUUUAAGAAACAUGUUUGAAAAUCUAAUGAACUAGCUGACGCAUGGACCAUUCUUAUGUUUAGAGCCUCAUUUAUUUAGUGGAUUAUAAAACAUGGGAAUAGGAAAAACUUAGGACUUUAAUAUCAUGAGAUGGAAAACACAAAAUAUGCAACUAAAGUUGCUUGAUCACACCACAAGAACAAUGCACAAAUUACUUUGAAGAAUUAGGUGUUCGCUAUAGUUGUUAUAGAAACAUAGAAAUGCUUCCAUGAGAUUGUACUCGUUCAAAAAAUUCUUUUGAAUUACAUGCAAACUAGUUUAUAGGAAAACUGAAAGACCCUAAAAAUACAUUCCUCUAAAUUUCCUAUUCAACAAAGAAACGCUUGGUUAUUAUUAUGCUCAUGACGGUAUUAGAUUGCAGUUGGCUCCUCUAAAAUAAGGGCUUGCAAAAAGGUCUCGAUUGCACUUCUCGAGCUAGAGUUUGCUUUUGAGAAGAUUUCUUGCCUUUUCUUCUUUCAAAUUUCUAUUUCUAAGUCAUGUGAGAAAUAAUAAUUUCUAUGUCGACCAAUUUGCACAUCAUGAAGCAUGCAUGUGUUUAUUUAGAGUGAUCUAAAAGAUCUUAUAUUACUUUACAGAGGGAGUACAUGACUGUCGUCCUAGAAAUAAAAGUGUGGAUUAGAGAUAAUCUUUUUCCUUUUGUAGAAUAGGAAGUGCAUAGGCAUAAUGCCCCCAUACUGAGUACUGCCUGGUACUCCCAAGUCCGGAAACAUCUCCCUAUAAGUCGUGAUCUAUCAUGUCACAAAAUUUUAAAUUUCAACCCAACUCACAUACUAUAACGCAAAAAGUAUAGAUAUAGCUAUAAAUAGAAACUGAAUUGACUUUUUUUUCUUCUGUGAAUUCGCCCACUAACAUUAAUGGCAUUAUUCUACCUUUUUUUUUUCUCUCAAGAGUUUUGAUUUAGAAUGGUGACAUAAUCAAUGCCCUAGGCGGAAUUAUAGGGAAUCCCAACCCCAACCAUGUCUGUUUGGAUUUAUUAGCCCUCCUUGUAUUUUGGGUUAAACUUUGACAUUCAAUUGAAUUACCAAAAAAUAAUUUAUAUACCACAAAAAUAGUAUCAUUGAAAACUUAUGUUUAAUAUGAAUGAAUCCAAUAAGCUUUAUGCCAUACAAUUUAUAUUUUGUUUGUCAAAUUUAUGAUCAAACUUGAGCGCAAAAUACAAAGGGACAUUAAACUCGAGCGGAGGUGUAUGCUCAACGUAAUAGCAUUUUGUUUCCAGAGUCCAUGCUCCACGUAAUAGCAGGCCGCAAGCUUUACCAGUGGGCUUGCAGCCCAUGGCGCAUGCCCCCCGGGGCGAACGAACGAUCCCCAGGGAAGCCCACAGGCCCCGUGAGGCACCCCAGUAGAAACGGCCUUUUUCUCAAAAAGAAAAAGAGAGAGCAGAAACGGCCUUCUUCUUCUUAUAAAAAGAAAAGAAAACAGAGACGGCCUAAACGGAGCUCAAUCCAUGACUUCUUCGCGAGGACGGCCGCCCCGCGGCGCGUCGGCGGCGCAAACAGCAAACCCCUCUCAUCACCUUAAAAAAGGAAAAAGGAAAAAAAAAGCAAGCCACUCUCACCGUGCGUCCUGCCACCACCGCCGCCCGCGUUCCACUUCCAGUGCUCUACCGCCACGCCAGGCACGGCAAAUUAGGCGGGCUCUGUUUCCACGCGCGCAUGUGUCCGUCGACGGGCCUCGUCGUCUCAUCGUCGGGACAGUUCCUAGUGGGAUCGCUUGAAUGCGUGCUUUCGGACCCGUACAGCACCGGAGCUCGCGGCAUCCGCACGCCGCCGGAGCGAAAAGAGGCCUCGUCGGUUUUCAGAUCGCCAGCAUGAUCCCCAGGGCGCGGGAGCAGAGCUCGCCGAUCCCGAACCUCCAUCGGAAACCUCCGGGGAGCCUCCGUCUCGGUGCGCCGUAUCCAGCGCGCCAUGCCACCAUGCUCCAGGACGAAAGCGAACGUGCCGACACCACGUCCACGCACUGCCGCGUUACUCUGUGCCUGCGACGAUCGCGAUGCGCUAUCCGUGCGACCAUGCCUUGUUUAAUGUGCUCGGCAUGCGCGCCGCACGCACCGGUCACCGGUGUGUCGGCCGGUGGCAUGGAAAAAGGCCUCCCCAUGCCCUGGAGAGCGGAGAUCGGCCUGCCUACACCGCAGCGAUCGAUCGCACUCGCACCUAGGCAUCCGCCGCAUGUGCGUCGCCAUAUUCCUAUGCUCCGGAUGACUCAGCGCCAAGCUAUUAUCUAGGCUGAUUUAUCACCAUCCGCAAUUAAUUAAGGCGACUACUAGGCGCCGGUGCGCCGGCCGAAUUUCGGCCGGUCAGAGCGCACCCGUACGAUUGCAGUUUCAUCUGCCGUUGGAUCUGGGCAUUUUUUUUUCUUCCUCGUCCCGCACAUCAUGCCAGAACCAAAAAAAAGGGAAUCUCCGGUGCACCCGCCCCGCUCACGCAGCCCGCCAUGGCCGCGCGUGCCGCUGAUUCGAGGCACCAUCGGCUCGUCGUCCCCGCAGCACGGAUCCUCACUGGAUCUGGCAGGACAACAUCGCUCCACCGAGCCAUCGCCAUGUAGCAAAACAACUAACCGGUUGCCGCAAAAAAAAAACACCGAUGCAGCAAAAAUGUGAUGUCGGUUCCACCAAAAUCGGCCUCCAGUUGCAGCCAUUCAGUGAAAGUUCAUCGCUGUCGCCGUUUGUAGAUGAGGUAGUAGCUAACAAAAACACCAGUUCCAACAAAAAAAAUUGCUGGUUCCAGCAAAAAAAUGUAACCAGCAGAAAAAACAAAAAAAAGGGAUGGUAGCAAAACUCAAAUACACUAGUAGCAAAAAACAAAGACAGUGGUAGCAAAUUUGAGGUGGUUCAAAGGUAAAAAGGAUGCAUCCGGCAAAAAAAAUUCGGAAGACGGGGCAGUAGCAAAAACGGAGAUGGUGGUAGCACAAAUCAAAGACUCUGGUAACAAAAAAAAUGAAGUGGUUCUAGUAGAAAGAUGGAUCCAGCAAAAAAAUUCAGAGAUGGGUGCCAAAAAUGAGAAAAGGACGGUGGCAGCAAAAAACAAAACGAUGGUAGCAAAAAAUUUGAAUCGUUGUAGCAAAAAAGCACUUCCAAAAAUGUGGAUCCUAGCAAAAAACGUUGCUGAUUCCAGCAAAAACAAAAACCGGUUGUAGCAAAAAAAUUGCUAAUUGCAGCACCCGCCGAGGCCGAUUCCAGCAUCUCGUUUGCUCAUGCAAGACGUAACCGCCGGCCCAUCACCCGGUGGAGGACGGCGCACGCCGGAGCAGCGCGCGAGCAGGUGGAGGCGGCUGCUCGCUAGAAUAGAGCGGGGCAUGUGAGGGCCUUACGCUCGUCGGAGCAACACAAGGUGCGAUCUGCAGCCACUGGAGCAGUGGAUUUGGUUGCGUUAGAGAUGAGCGGAGAAGCAAGAUUAGGUGAGGAGUGGAUAUUGGAGAGGAAAUCCUGAGAGAGAGGAUCCACGCUACUGUUAUUUUGGGGAGAAAAGAGUGACAGAGGAAGGACGCGUUCAU
rnacentral:rRNA from 1 species